rnacentral:sRNA from 1 species
CCCUGGUGUCUGCUUUUUACGCCCAGUUUAGGGUGGAUGCUGGGGGUUAAGGAUCCCGGGCGCAUUCCAACGGCAUGGAAUAUCCGACCCGGUUUCCGUGGAGACCCAGUAUUGUGCGACAGCGGAACCCCCACAAGGAGAUUGUGGAACCGCCUGCGUACGAAUUGGGGUAUGAACCUGCAAUGCGGUGCACAGAGUCGUGUGCUGUGUGCAGUGUAGCCUGCCUUGAGUGAGUAUGUGGGAAAGAAGAAACAUCCCUGCCGGUGGCUAUGGCCAUAGCCAUUGCAGGUAUUGCUUCGGAAACCAUCCUUGCAAAAGAGGCUAAGAGCCGGAGCGGGCUGCGGUGGAAAACACCUAGGCUGUCAUAACUGGGCAGGCAGGGGAUUACAGUACGGACUAAGUGGCGAUCGGGUGCGCCUUGUUGGCAACGCUGGCGUGGACGGAUGAAAUGGAAACAGCCUGUGCGGCAACGGCAGGUUCCGUCCGGGGAAAGCCGACCCGACCUAAGCCGUAAGAUUUAUCCUGCCUGCCGCCGUUUUUAACAAAAU